AUAUUUCGAAGCAUUUUUUUUUAAAUACAAGAACUAAAUAGACACUAAUCUUAAAAUAUAAGAACUAAAUGAACUUUUGCCCGAAUAAAAAGUAAGCCUUAGUUGGGUCAAUCCAUGGAAACAUCCCACCAAAUAUAAAAGGAACAAAAAAUGUAAGAAUUACAUAUUACUCCCAAAUAUAAGAGGAAAAAAAGAAUAUGUAUUUUAACUAAUGUAUCUGCAACUAAAUUACAUCAAAAUACACAGCAUUCCACUUAUCAUGCUCUUACAAUUCAAUUGACGUGGUCUCUUAAUUGAGUCUUAAAAAGUCUCUAAUAAUCAUUAUACCCAUGCCUAUGGUGAGAUAGAGUUUUCUUUAGUUAACUUCGUUUGAAUUUAUUAUUUCUUGUCCCAUCAUCUACUUCAAUUUGUCACUCCUAUGCAGGUUAAGAAUUAUCACUUCAUUUACUCACCCGAUUUUGGGCUUGAAUUUUAUGUCACAGGCUCACAGCCAUCACGGCUAAAAUUUUGCCCUCAGUGUGGCCGUAAAUAAAUGUCAUCUUAAUGCAAGUAAUUAUGAUUUCUUGACUUGUUCGUUCUUGCUUGUGUAUUAGCGUGGGCUUGAAAUUUUUCGUUCCAUUGUGUUUCAAUUUCUCACUACAACAAUGUAAUUAUUAUUUUUCACUCUAUUGUGAGUUUAGAACCGCUGCCGCCUACCGAGCUUUAAAAUUCCUCGCUUUAUCUUAAACUUGAAUUUCUGAACUUAUUAUUCAUUAAAGAAAUUGCAACUUGGAGUUGCUUUUACAUUUAUUGCGACAAGUUUUUAGUUCAAUUCGAAAUCGUAUUUGUCUUCUCAAAACUCAUAUCCAAUCGACUCUUUUUUGUGCUGCAUCGUGACAACUAAGUUGUGCAAAAUUGGACCAUCAAGAACGCAAGAUUUGUAGAAUAAGAAUAGUAAUCAUUAUCGGAAAUAGUGAAUAUAUAUGCAUGUAUGUAUGUAUGUAUGUAUGUAUGUAUGCAUGCAUGUAGAUUAACAACGUAUAAUAAAUUGAAAAUUAAACCUUAUAGCUUGAAAUAACUUGGCCCAAUGAAUAUAGGUUUGGUGGAAAGGGCACGGGUCGUGGGACCUUGUCUCAUUAUCUCAAGUUAAAUGUGAAUAAUCAUGAAAUAGGCUAUAUACCAUGAAUCUGUUGGCAUCACCCCUCGCCUAACACUUUAGUCAAUUUUAUUAUAGCGAUCGAUUGGCCAUUCCAAUCUCCAUUUGUUCAUCCGCAAUUCAGCUUUACUUCUCUUUAGUAAUAAAAGUACGAAGUAAUCAUAAGUGUUGAUGGACCACAUUCAAUUUCACUCAAGCGGGUUUCCCUGUCCAAUCUCGUGUGAGAUUAAAGGGAAAUCAGGAUAGAUUAAUUUAAUUAGAUAUUUAUGAUUGAUAAUUUCUUGAUUAACACGGGCUAAUCAAGAUUUAAUUGGGGCAUGCUUAUGGUAAUGGUCCUUUCGUUGGUUGGCAGGUUUUCAUACAACCGUAGCGAAAUUCCAUGAAAUUUCCUCUACAUAAAUUAAUGCUUCGAUAAAUUAAAAUCUUAGUUAAAUAAUAUGCUUCGCACAAUUCAGACUCAAGACUAAAAUGCUAAUUUAUAAUUCAAUUAAUUAAUAAAUUUUUCUUAGUCCCUACAACCAUCAAUUUAUCGAUGUUUUCCUCUAUACACAACCAAUUUAAUUUUCAAGUUUAUAAAAAGAUUGGCUGUUGUAAUUUGAAAUUUGUAACCACAUAUUUUUUACAAUAUUUUUAUUUUUAUAAGUUGAUUUUUUUUUCUUUUGAAGCACACUGGGAGCCUAUAACUGAAGAGAUUCUCAAAAUUUUUUAAUUUAUUUUAGGGUUAAUUCCGCCCUGCCCCCAAAUGUUUCAACAUAUUUCACCGCUUACCUAAAUGUUUCAACAAUGCCCAAUUCAUACCCAAAUCUGUUAAUUUGACCAUUUAUUCUAACGGUCAAAGGGUAAAUUUAGAAGUUCAUGCCCUAAAUAUUAUUUGAUGAUGAUA
rnacentral:lncRNA from 1 species